rnacentral:rRNA from 1 species
AUUGAACGCUGGCGGCAGGCCUAACACAUGCAAGUCGAGCGGAUGAAGGGAGCUUGCUCCUGGAUUCAGCGGCGGACGGGUGAGUAAUGCCUAGGAAUCUGCCUGGUAGUGGGGGAUAACGUCCGGAAACGGGCGCUAAUACCGCAUACGUCCUGAGGGAGAAAGUGGGGGAUCUUCGGACCUCACGCUAUCAGAUGAGCCUAGGUCGGAUUAGCUAGUUGGUGGGGUAAGGGCCUACCAAGGCGACGAUCCGUAACUGGUCUGAGAGGAUGAUCAGUCACACUGGAACUGAGACACGGUCCAGACUCCUACGGGAGGCAGCAGUGGGGAAUAUUAGACAAAGUGCGAAAGCCUGAUCCAGCCAGGCCACGUGUGUGAAGAAGGUCUUCGGAUUGUAAAGCACUUUAAGUUGGGAGGAAAGGCAGUAAGUUAAUACCUUGCUGUUUUGACGGUACCAACAGAAUAAGCACCGGCUAACUUCGUG